GAGCCCCAGCUGGACCAAAGCCACAACUCUGGCUGCCCACAGUGAUGACAGCCAAAAGCUCAAUCCAGACAACGUGAUGGAUCUCUUGAGCCUCACAGUGAUGAUUUAUGCACGCUUUAACAUCCCUGGGGCAGUACUUGUCCAGAUUUAAUGUCACCCAAUGUUUAAGCCUUUGGUUUGCCUCCUGGAAAUCUAAGCAAGACUUCUCUUUCGACCCCAAGGUGACCUCUUUUGAUGAGAGAAAACCCAGAGCAACAUGCCUGAGGACAGGUGUCACUGACACCCCAAACACAUCCUGAAAUGUUAGGCUCUGGCUGCAGACCUAGAUCUGGAGGGAUAGAAAUCAGAAAACUUUCACUGGGUCUCUUUUCUCUGAGGUCCUUCCAGCAGGAUCUGCUAGAUCCUGAUAAGGAUGAAAUAAACUUCUCUAGCCUUGAGGAGCUUUCAGUCCAGUGGCUGGGGCGGGGUGGGGGGAAUAGACAGUAUUUUAUGAAUGGGACUAUUAGGAACAAAAGGACAGGAGUAAGACUUCCUAUACUAUAUAAGUGAUAAAGACUACAUUUGCCUUGGAUGUAUUUUAAAGGAAAAUCUUCCAUCUUUCAAAAUAUAAUUUGAUGAAUUUUUGCUAUGAAAUGGUGUUCGGUUUUCGUCAAAUGCUUUCUCUGCAGCUACUGAGAUGAUCUUGUAAGUUUUAUCUUUCAUUUAUUGAUUCAUUUGACACAGUUACUGAUGUAUGUGUAAUGAGUAUCCCUGUAAUCCAAGGAUGAACCCCACUUGAUGAUGGUGUAUAAUUCUUUUAAUAUGCUCUGAAUUUGGUUAUCUAGAAUAUUGUUGAAGAUUUUUACCCGGUAAACCAACUUACUUCCAAAAAAAAAAAAAACCACACAAAUGGAAGGUUUUAGGAAAGGGGUGAUGAUGGGCUAGACUGGGAUUGGGUCACCAGGGAUGGAGAGGAAGGGUGUGUGGGAUUGGGAUUUGAGCUGAGUAGGACAUCCGAACUUCUAAAUUUUCUGCAGGGUCCCACAACUGAAAACCCAGGCCAGGUAUCAGGCAACAGCACAGAGCCUUCCACGGAAUCUUAUCGUCAGACAAUUGAGGACAUUGUGGCAUUUCUCCAAGACCACAAAGAGGUAAGACCCUGGGUGCACCUGAGCCAUAACCCUAUGUACGUUUGACUGCCCAUAAUGACAACAGCCAAAAGAGGUCAGUCUAGAACCAGGCGAUAAAUCCCUUGAGGAUCACAAUGGUUUAUGCAUUUUUUAACAUCCCCGAGAUGGUACUUGUCCAGCUCUAACAUCACCCCAUGUUAAAAGUCCUUGACUUGCCACCUGGAAACCUAAGCAAGACUUCUCUUUUGACCCCAAGGUGACCUCUUUUGAUGAGAGAGAACCCAGAGCGACAUGCCAGAGGACAGGUGUCACGGACACCCCAAACACAUCCUGAACUGUUAGGCUCUGGAUGCAGACCCAGAUCUGGGGGAUGGAAAUGCGAAGUCCUUCGCUGGGUCCCUUUUCUCCAAGGUCCUCUCAGCAGGAUCUGGCAGACUCUGCUAAGGAUAAAGCAGAGGUCUCUAGCCUCUGAGAGCCUUCAGUCCAGUGGUGGGCGAAGGGGAGUAGACAGACGUUACAGAAUUUCAGGAGUGGGAAUUUUAAGAAGGAAGGACAGUGGAAAGACUUCUUGUACUAUGUACUAUGCUGAAUAGCAGUGAUAACGGAUACCUUUGCCUUGGUUGGAUUUUAAAGGAAAAUCUUUCAUCUUUUCAACAUCUAAUUUGAUGAAUUUUUGCCAUGAAACUGUGUUGACUUUUGUCAAAUGUUUUGUCCACAGCUACUGAGAGGAACCGCUAAGUUUUAUCUUUUGUUUAUUGAUUCAUUUGACACAUUUACUGAUGUGUGUGUGCUGAACAUCCCUGUAACCCAAGGAUAAACCCCACUUGAUGAUGGUGUGUAAUCCUUUUAAUAUGCUCUGAAUUUCGUUAACUAGAAUAUAGCUGAGGAUUUUUAUACUGUAAAUCAACUGUACCUCAAAAAAAGAGACAAAUGGAAGGUUUUAGGAAAGGGGUGAUGAUGGGCUAGACUGGGAUUGGGUCAUCAGGGAUGGAGAGGAAGCGUGGGUGGAAUUAGAUUUGAGCUGAGUAGGACAUCCGAACUUCUAAAUUUUCUGCAGGGUCCCACAACUGAAAACCCAGGCCAGGUAUCAGGCAACAGCACAGAGCCUUCCACGGAAUCUUAUCGUCAGACAAUUGAGGACAUUGUGGCAUUUCUCCAAGACCACAAAGAGGUAAGACCCUGGGUGCACCUGAGCCAUAACUAUGUACGUUUGACUGCCCAUAAUGACAACAGCCAAAAGAGGUCAGUCUAGAACCAGGUGAUGAAUUUGUUGAGGAUCGCAGCGAUGAUUUAUGUAUGUUCUAACAUCCCUGGGGCAGUACUUGUCCAGAUUUAAUGUCUCCCAAUGUUUAAGCCUUUGGCUUGCCUCUUGGAAACCUAAGCAAGACUUCUCUUUUGACCCCAAGGUGACUUCUUUUGGUGAGAGACAACCCAGAGCAGCAUGCCACAUGACAGGUGUCAUCGACACUUCAAACAUAUCCUGAACUGUUAGGCUCUGGAUGCAGACCUAGAGCUGGGGAAUGGAAAUCCAAAGUCCUUCACUGGGUCCCUUUGCUCUGAGGCCCUCCCAGCAGGAUCUGCUCGAUCCUGCUAAAGAUGAAGCAGAGUUCUCUAGCCCUGAAGAGCUUUCAGUCCUGUGGCGGGGGAAGGGGAGGAGACAGACACUGCAGUAUUUCCAGAGUGGGCGUUAGGAAAAGAAGAACAGGUAUAUGAUCCUCUUGGGGGUUGGCUUUCAAUGAGGCCUUCAUCUCAGAGGAUCCCUAGGUUUUGAGGGCUCUUCUUGCUGGAGUGUCUCCACAGUGACACUGGCCCCAGGCGGGUACCCCCUCCCACACCUCCAACUGACAGUGGCCUGUGCUGCCUUGUGGCUUGUUUACAAUCCCCACCUAUUUCCAAGCGUGAUUCUAGACCACAAUUACAUUUAAGGCCAUCCCUCACCCUGAUGGAGUCCGUGUGGAAGGAGAGCACUCCAGAGGGUCCUCAGUCUGCAUACGCAAUGGCUGUGUAGUCCUGAGCUCUGGAUACAGCCUGGGGGAAUUGCCACGGCUGUCUCUCUGCUCUGAGAGUCAGCACAGAGCAGGAGAGACCAGGCUUUGGUGGCAGGGGUGGGAAUGGAGAUGUAUUUGAUAAGACGGGCUCCCGUCACCACAACCCUUGGCUGAGAGAGGCAGGCUGAGCAAGGGACAGGUCAGGGACAUGGCAAAACGGAGCAGGCAGGUCUGGCCAGAGAAGGACAAGAGUGGCAAAGUGGCUACCGACAUGCCGGCUCUGGGGGGUUAGUGGCAAACAUUCUACCAGAGGUAUAGGAAGCCUAAAGCCUGAGGAUGGCCCCUUGGAAUAGAGGUUUCGACGCUGGCCAUGUGCACGUUAGGGCUCUGCCUGUAGAGAAGCUUCUUCUGGGAAUGGUUCCUGGAGGCCGAUGCCUCUAGGAUGGUUCUCGGGAAGCUCGCCUAUCAGGGGGAACCCCAGGAGGUCUCUGGGGGAAAUGUCCAGAGUGGAUGCAAGCCUGUGAACACUCAGAGCAAAACAGGUUCAACUCAAGUUAAGAAUCUUCUGCCUGGGCCCAGUCGGUUCAGUUCUUUGAGCCCCUGUCCGCGUGUCUACUGUAGGGAUUAAUGAUGGUUUCUGUUUAGGGGGUGAUGAGGAAAGGAAAACGAGAGAAUAUUUUUGGAAGUUCAUUAAUUUAACCACCUCUCCAGUAGGAUGUCUGGGAAAUGGGGCCUCGCUGGAAAAGACUGUGUGUGGGGGGAGCAUCAGAGCAGUAGGGGCUUAGGAUGUACAAACUGUUGUGUGUAUGAUGAGCUAAAAGGAUGUACUGUACAACACAUGAAAUAUAUCCACUGUUUUAUAGUAAGUAUAAAUUGGAAGGCAGCUGUGCUUACCACUAUACCACCAAUGCUAUAGUAAGUAUAAAUUGAAUAUAACUUUUAUGUAUUGAAAUCAGUCUGUUGUCCACCUGUAAAUUAUGCAAUAUUUUACAUAAACUCUACUUCCGUUUUAAAAAGCCUGUGGGGAAAGAUCUCUUCAGGGGAUGGGGGGGCAUCUGUGCAUUCAUCUAGGUUCCCACUUCCACCAACAUAUCAGCGUAGCCUAGGAAGAGUUUGCAUGUUAGAAGUUUUACUCUGGGAGUUCCCGUUGUGGCUCAGCAGUAACUAUCCCAACUAGUGUCCAUGAGGAAUGGGAUUUCGUUCCUUCACCCUGCUCAGUAGGUUAAGGAUCUAGCAUUGCUGUGAGC
ensembl:lncRNA